AAGCAUCCUCUUUCCUGGCAGCCUCCCCGCUUCUGAUCUUCUUCCAGAUCUACUAUUCGGAGCUAUUGGAUGUGCUGGGUAAUUGGAUAAUAUCCUACAGCCGUGUGGGUGCAGGUGUGAGGUCUGGCCAGAGCAUUUCAGACCAGACUGCCUUACCAUUGGGUUCACUUUCCCUUGGGAUCAUCUUUUUCCUCGGGGAUCAGCUCAGUGUCAGCAAGUGCUCGCUGCCUCAUCUCAUGUGGUGUCCCAGGAAGACAACAACACCAGCCAUAAGAUAAUGUGCUACUGAACAGGAUUGAAACGACGGGCAUCCAACUCACAAGAAUGGAAGGGGGAAAAAAAAAGCCUACACACACACACAAAAACCAACCCACCCUGAAAGUCUUCAGGCCCUUUUGUGCCACAUUUCAGAUUACGCAAAGAAAAAAAAGCCCUCAUGCAUGAGACAAUAGCUACGAUGAAUUAAGCACAAGCUGUUUGGUCGAAAAGUGAGAGCCUCCCAUGCCCAGGGAAGGCUGUGCAGAGGUUGCGACACUCGCAGGGCGCUGUGCUGAAUUCAGCAGCCUGUUCAGUUUCUGCAUUAGUUGUGAAAUCACCUCUUUUGUGUUCAGGGAGGCACUUUGUGAUGGCCGUUGCGGCACAGCUGCGGGACCUGAUGGGGAGCGAUGGCCAUAUGGUGCUGGGCACAGCCCUUACCCAGGCAGCAGCAAGGAGUGGGGCUGUGCUCCCUUGCCCUGCUUGCGCACCAGUUGAUGUGAAACCAAGGAUGUGGAGCCUGUUUCUGGAUUUGCAUGCAGCCCUGUGCUCGUGCAUCAUCUCAGCCUGCCUGCAGGUUUUCCAUGAUGCAUCGUUAUUUUGGCAGUUUUGUUUGAUCCCCUCAUGUCAAGCACUAGGUUUGCAGAAAUGAAGGGGAAACGGCCCCUAUCUGUGGUGCUGUGUCCAUGAGAGGUGUUAGGAAAAAAGAAAACUGCAUUUGUUGUGUUAAGCUGCAGCUCCAGGAACUGGGGGCUCUUGGAGAAGCAAAGCAGACCGCAGAAGUUAGAGGCUCUGCCUGAGGACCGCGUGCUUUUAAUUUGCGCUCAGCCCUACCAGAAAUACCUGGCACUGUCUAAAACCAAAGCCAGAGCCUCAGCCUUUCGCUUUUCCCUGCCCAAACCCUGCCAGAUACUGUUACUACAGUACAUUAUUAAAUACCCUGUUAU
rnacentral:lncRNA from 1 species